rnacentral:rRNA from 1 species
UAGGGAAUCUUCCACAAUGGACGAAAGUCUGAUGGAGCAACGCCGCGUGAGUGAUGAAGGGUUUCGGCUCGUAAAACUCUGUUGUUGGAGAAGAACAGGUGUGAGAGUAACUGUUCACAUCUUGACGGUAUCCAACCAGAAAGCCACGGCUAACUACGUGCCAGCAGCCGCGGUAAUACGUAGGUGGCAAGCGUUGUCCGGAUUUAUUGGGCGUAAAGCGAGCGCAGGCGGUUUCUUAGGUCUGAUGUGAAAGCCUUCGGCUUAACCGGAGAAGUGCAUCGGAAACCAGGAGACUUGAGUGCAGAAGAGGACAGUGGAACUCCAUGUGUAGCGGUGAAAUGCGUAGAUAUAUGGAAGAACACCAGUGGCGAAGGCGGCUGUCUGGUCUGUAACUGACGCUGAGGCUCGAAAGCAUGGGUAGCGAACAGGAUUAGAUACCCUGGUAGUCCAUGCCGUAAACGAUGAGUGCUAAGUGUUGGAGGGUUUCCGCCCUUCAGUGCUGCAGCUAACGCAUUAA